UAUCACCGUGACAGACGGUAUGAUCCCCGUCAUUAGUCUUUGGUAUUAAUUGCGUUAGUGACCCUGACCGAAGUUAAAUAAUCACGAAAUCAAGGCCGAUAAAAGGCAGAAAUAAUUCCAUGAGAAAUUAGUAGAUGAGCGUAAAUGCCUGGCAACACUGAACCGCUCGAAACAAUGGCGUAUAGUAACAGCGAUAGUAAAGACUGAAAUUUACUACAAGAGCAUUCCUGCAGCUCAAUCGUUACACGGACCCAGCUACUGUGCAACAGUCCAAUCACGCAGUCGCCACAAACGACGUCGUGUUCUGUUACGUAAAUCCGAGCUUUUCGCUGGUCGAUUGUAGAGUUUAACUCGAAAUAGAACCGAGGAAGGAAUAUGCAAAUUGGUUUAAUUUUUUAGCCAUGUUUCGGCAGGAACGCGCUUUCAGCAGGAAGAAAGCUCGGGUUUGGAAGCCGGUUUUUCCCCUGGCGGUAUUUUUUCGUAAUGAUGUAAAGUCGAGUGGGAGCUAGCAUGUUUAUAAACAAGUUGUAUACAUUGUGAGUGCAGUGGGAGAGAAAGAGAUCGGGCGACAAAGGACAAGAAGAACCAAUAAGAGAGCGCUUGGCAACAAGGCUAGACCGCACUUUUCGAUACUUUUGGUCCCACAAACCGGCUCAGCUAGGCCUACAUUCCUUAGGACGCUUCCUGCUGAAGACGCAAACAGGUGGAUCUAGUGCUAACCUUAUGGCUUGCAGAGAUGGCUCGAGAAAGCACGGGACGGUGCUCCAUGUGCGAGGAAAUCCGAGAUGGCACUCAACUGCAGGACAUCGCAGGACGCACUCACCACACCACCAGCUGAUUGCGUAGCCAAAUAGGAACGGACUGCCGUCACACCUUCGCGUUACCGAGAAACUGAAGUGAAACGAAACGCUGAAGCUGAUUUCGAACUGGCGGCUGGCGGUGACGGUGGUGGUGGUGGCAGAGAAUGAAACCUGCAACGUCCUGCUCUAGCUCGUGCUCACGCAGAUGCUGCCCACUCUCUCGCACUUCUGAUAAUCGAACCAAGCCGUCAAUUCUUAGGGGGUGAUUCUUUAUGCUUGGAAAAUAGACAACGACACUACGAUACGACCAAACCUCACCCAAUUGUCUUUAUUAAAUCAUCGAUCCACAAUUCUUCACGUAUGAAAGCACCCCAACUUAAAUCUUCAAAAGAUUUCACUCGCAGCUUUGCCUCUGACAGCAACUUUGUAAUAAAGCUUUCAAUAAAAAUAAAAAGCUUCACUAUUCCA